CCUCCAGAUGUUUUGGGACUACAAUUCCUAUCACCCUGACCACGGGUCCUGUUAGCUAGGGAUGAUGAGAGUUGUAGUCUUAAAACAUCUGGAGG
rnacentral:miRNA from 1 species